rnacentral:rRNA from 1 species
GAUGAACGCUGGCGGCGUGCCUAAUACAUGCAAGUCGAGCGAACAGACGAGGAGCUUGCUCCUCUGACGUUAGCGGCGGACGGGUGAGUAACACGUGGAUAACCUACCUAUAAGACUGGGAUAACUUCGGGAAACCGGAGCUAAUACCGGAUAAUAUAUUUAACCGCAUGGUUCAAUAGUGAAAGACGGUUUUGCUGUCACUUAUAGAUGGAUCCGCGCCGCAUUAGCUAGUUGGUAAGGUAACGGCUUACCAAGGCAACGAUGCGUAGCCGGCCUGAGAGGGUGAUCGGCCACACUGGAACUGAGACACGGUCCAGACUCCUACGGGAGGCAGCAGUAGGGAAUCUUCCGCAAUGGGCGAAAGCUUGACGGAGCAACGCCGCGUGAGUGAUGAAGGUCUUCGGAUCGUAAAACUCUGUUAUUAGGGAAGAACAAAUGUGUAAGUAACUAUGCACGUCUUGACGGUACCUAAUCAGAAAGCCACGGCUAACUACGUG